rnacentral:rRNA from 1 species
AUACGUAGGGUGCAGGCGUUAAUCGGAAUUACUGGGCGUAAAGCAUGCGCAGGCGGUUUUUUAAGACAGAGGGGAAAUCACCGGGGUCAAACUGGGAACUGCCCUUGUGUCUGGAAGGCUCGAGUACGGCACAGGGGGAUGGGAUUUCGUGUGGCGCAGUGAAAUGCGUAGAUAUGCGGAGGAACACCGAUGGCGGAGGCAAUCCCCUGGGCCUGUACUGACGCUCAUGCACGAAAGCGUGGGGAGCAAACAGGAUUAGAUACCCUGGUAGUCCACGCCCUAAACGAUGUCAACUGGUUGUUGGGUCUUCAUUGACUCAGUAACGAAGCAACGCGUGAAGUUGACCGCCUGGGGAGUACGGCCGCAAGGUUGAAACUCAAAUGAAUUGGCGGGG